rnacentral:rRNA from 1 species
UACGUAGGUGGCAAGCGUUGUCCGGAUUUACUGGGCGUAAAGAGCGCGCAGGCGGCUGGGCAAGUCCGAUGUGAAAGCUUCCGGCUUAACUGGAAAAUUGCAUCGGAAACUGCUCGGCUUGAAGGUGGGAGAGGGUAGCGGAAUUCCUGGUGUAGCGGUGAAAUGCGUAGAUAUCAGGAGGAACACCGGUGGUGUAGACGGCUUUCUGGACCGUAACUGACGCUGAGACACGAAAGCGUGGGUAGCAAACAGG